UAUUCCCUAAAUUUGGGACAGACAGACGCCUAUCCCCAUUCCCCACCAUUUGAAAUUGAAACACAUGUCUAUUCCCUUUACAUUGCCUUUUUUCUCUCUCAUUUUGUAAUUAACCCUAAUUUCUCUACUCUUUCUGCCGCCCCCCACACACCAUGCCACCAUCGCCGCCCUUACGGCUCACACGCUGCCAGCUCUGGCCAUCCUCCUUGCCGCAGCCCCCCACACGCCAGUGACUUCGUUGGAGCCUCAGGUAGUUAUCCAAUUUCAUUAUUUCCGAAAAUUACCUUAUAAACCCUUUUAUUCGUACAGACUUGAAUUUUAUCUCUUCAAGAUUGAGAUUGGUUCAUUUAUGUUUGCCUCUAUUUACCAAUUUGCUAGAAAUUUUCCGUUCUUUCAUCACCCUUCUCGAUUCACUGUACCGGCAACCAUUGCCGGAGGCAGAGCUACGAGCCUACGAGAGAUUCUUAAGCACCCUCAACCAAAUUUUUUUAUAAUUUCAUAUUUUUUUUCAGAAUUAUUCAGUUUUAGCAUUCUUUGUAGUCAAUUUAAUUUAACUCCCAAAAUUAUAUUUCUACAUCUGCUUCUCAUUACAACAUUGAUAUUCAGACUAAAAUUCAUAAAGCCCCCUAAUAUUGAGAUUAAAGUUCAUAGCUUUUAUUGACCAACCACGAAGUAUUUUACUUGUGUUAAAUUACCUUAAAAUGAAUUUAUUUGCGUCUGGGAACCUAAAUUGAAGUUGCUCCAUUUGUAUUGGGCUUGAGGGAGUCACACGAGACAGACAAUUUGUAUAAAUAUUUAUAUGUUUAAAUGUUGAUAUUAAAAUACUACUUGUGAUAAUUUUAGAAGUCAAGUGUUAGAUCUACUUGUAACAUUAAUUUAUAUUUGAUAUUCUUGCAGGAAUAUAGAUGCUGAAAUGUAGUAGAGAUUGCACCUCAAGAUUGGUGGAAGAUUGGAUGUUUGAUAAUAAUUCUAUUGAAGUGUUAUUUUGACGAGUUUGAAACUUCUCUUAAUUUAUAUUUGAUGAAUUUCAAACUUUUGAAUGUAAUGGGUUGUAUUGAGAAUUUAAAUAAUAGAAUCACCAAAUGAGCAUUUGUUGUUAUUUGUUUUUAUUAGGUAAAUGUAUUGAAAUAUAUUUCUAUAUUAUUUAAAAUAUUAUUUACA
rnacentral:lncRNA from 1 species